rnacentral:tRNA from 1 species
GCUGACUUAGCUCAGUUGGUAGAGCAGCGCACUCGUAACGCGCAGGUCACAGGUUCGAUCCCUGCAGUCAGCA